rnacentral:lncRNA from 1 species
AUGAACCAAUGUUAUUGCUCUGAUAUUCUUUCUCCUGCCUUUAAAAAUUUCUAUAAAAUAUUGAUAAAUUGCAGCAAUAUCGUUGGGAAGGGGGAAGACAGCAGUGGAGGAUAAUGGUGUGGAUCCUGAAGCCUUUUAUUUCUAUGAACAGUUUUUAUUCCCAGUACUCCAGGAGUCCCUCUUACGUCCUUCUCCCAAAGGCAGUCACUCUUGGGAUUUGUGUCUUUAUAGAUUCCUUCUACCUGUUUUUGACCUUUAUGUAAAUUAAUCAUAAAUUAAUUAUGUAAAUUAAUCAUAGAGAAUGAAACUCUUUGGGUCUGGUUUCUUUUGCUUCACAUUACAUUUGUGAGAGUCCCCAUUAUUGAUAUGAGAGGGGAUGGUUCAUUUUGUUUCAUUGCUGCUUGGUGUUCUAUGAUACGAAUAUGCCAUAAUUCACUUAUUUUUUUCUGUCUUGGAAGAACACUUCAGUUCUUUCAGUUUUGGACGAGUCCAGAUAAUACUGCUUUGAACAUCUUUGACGGCUUCUUGGGUGCACAUAUUUAUGUGUAUCUGCCAAAUAGAUACCAGUAGUGGAGUUAAUUGGGUCAUAGUGUGUGUUUUCAGUUUUCAUUAAUACUGUCAAACAUUUCUCCAAAGGGUUUGGGCUAAUUCUGACUCUCUCUUGUUUGUACUAAUCCUGAUUCCAUAAGAGUUCCUUGUACUCCACAUCCUUGCUACCUGCUUGUAUGGCCACGACAUCAAGAUAUUGACUAUUGACUACUUACUGGAAAUUAUAGUAAGUGUUGCAGGAAAUAAAGUGUAUGAUGUGGUUUCUGUCUUUGAGCUUUUCCUAACGUAGGUGGAAUGACUAAAAUUGAAGAAUGACCCAGGCAGUAUAUACUAAAAUGCUAAAUUAUAGGAUUAAGCUAAAAGCCACAUUUAUUAUUUUUUAUGAUUUAGUUUUGGUUGCUAUUUUGUCUUCUUUUAAAAAUGUGUAAGCAAUAGGAGGCAGAACUAGUCUUAAUGGAAAAAUAAGUGAAUGGGUUAAUCCAAACAUUUGAUCAAUUUGUUUCAGUAUGUCUCAAGCUCAUAGUAAGUUUUUAUUUUUUUGUAAGAUUCUUCUUUGUAAAUGUAUGAAUAUUUCUAAGAAAGUAUUCCUAUGUCAGCAAAUAGAGGUAAAAGGAAUUUAUAUUAACCAAAAUGCUACCUCUUUUCCACAAUCUUGCAGAUUAGGGAAAGGCUUUAUCCAUCAUUUCUGAUAUAUAUGUCAUCCAGGCCACCUUUCAUCACCCUUCUGAUGAGAAGCACGCAAUUAUUAUAGCUUUGCUUGUAAGUUCUUCUCUAGGUUUAUUAAAAACCUUUGAGCCAGGCACUAUGCUAAAUGCUGACAUAUAUUAUAUACUCAAAAUGGCUCUGAGAUAUACAGACUAGUAUUAGCCUCUUUAUAUUGAAAAGGAAGCAGGUUCAGGGUAGUUAAGUAACUUGUUUGGGAGUUUCAGAUGAUUCUGUGUGAAACUCAGUUGGUUGGCAUGAAACUGGGCAUGUGACAAGCUUUCAGUAAAGCAGCUAAAUGACUAACCCACCACCAAUGGGUCUGAUCUUCACUUUAUGAAGCCAUAUCUAUCUAUCUGCUCCCUGUUUUACGUAGGUGUAUGGUCCUAUGCAAGACAAUUAAGCUUGUCCUUUCACUUCUUUAUUUAGCAAAUAUGGAUAUAAUAUCUGAAGAUCUUCUUAGUUGGGGUUUGAUGAGGUUAAAUUCAGUACUGUAAAAUGAAAGCCAAUUGCACUUGUGCGUGAAGGCUAUUGUGUGAAUGGUUUGGGAAUAUCUGGGAAGAUUUCUCAAGAGAGCAUCUUAAGGCCACUUUUGAAGAAGGGGGUAGAAUGGAAUUUUGAAAUUUGUCAUUCAGUGAAGUCCAGAAAAAAAAAAACACCCUAGAAAUUAGAUAGAAUCGUUUCUUCUCAUAUUAAAAUCCUCCUAUGGCAAGGGUAUUUUUCAGUCUUAAAUGAACUCUCUAGAAUAAGAAGUAAGGAAGCCUAGUAUUUGAAACUAGGUCUUAUUUACCCAGCUGAGUAAAAUCCCAGUUUAUCUAGCAUAGUACCCUGGUAUUAUUACAGAGCCGCUUGGCACUUGCCUGCUAGGAUAUGAGAAGCUGCCGACAAUAUGAAUGGUGAGUCUCUUACACUUCUCGGUAAGAUGUUUGGCAGGGUUAGAAAAUGUCACUUGCAUCUUCCUUAAUGUUUGUGGAAUUAGCUAUUAAGGAAGGAGGUGUAUUCCCAGCUCUCUCUCGUUUUUCUUGUUUUUCUUCAGUUACACCCUUCAGGUGCUGCUGCUGUUUCUCCCUUCCUGAACCAAACUACCAGCUAACACAUUACAACAGGGGAUGGUAUAGUGGUUGAGAACACAGAGCCAGGCUGCCUGGUCUUGAAAUUAAAAUAUGCGAACUUCCAUAUGUUGCAGUUCCAGUUAAGGUCAAGAUAUUUAACUUCUUAGGACCUUAAUUUCCCUGAUCUGUGAAAUGGGACAAAUUAUAGCAUAUGCCUAAUAUAGCUGUGAGGGUUAAAUGCUUUUAUAUGUUAAGUACUUUACACUGUAAAGUACUUAGAACAGUGUUUCACAUGUAAUAACUAGUGUAUAACUGUUGGCUAUUAAUAUAUGAAGUGUUAAAGAGGAAAAAGAAACUAUUAGUGUCAUAAAAAGGGUUUUUUUGUGUGUGUGAUGUUACAUCUAGGUUCAAUCUUCAUGUGAGCACUUUUUUUUUUAAGAUAUAAGGGGAAGAGAUGAUAUAAACGAAGAAUCAAAGUAUAUUUUUUAAAAAAGUCUGAAAUAUUUUUAAAAACUGUAGAUCCUGGAGUUUCUGUCAUGGCUCAGUGGUUAACGAGUCUGACUAGGAACCAUGAGGUUGUGGAUUUGAUCCCUGGCCUUGCUCAGUGGGUUGAGGAUUUGGCAUUGCCAUGAGCUGUGGUGUAGGUUGCAGAUGCGGCUCUGAUCUGGCAUAGGCCAGUAGCUACAGCUCUGAUUGGACCCAUAGGCUGGGAACCUCCAUAUGCCCUGGGAUCGGCCCUAGAAAAGGC